UCAGAGCCCGUGAGUCGCGUUGCCAAGUGAGAUCGAAGUGGACACAUGGAUCCGGUGAACGAAUGUUUGAAAUCGAGGCUGAAAGGAGAUGAGGUCGUCCAUGGCAGCGCUAUGUUGCAAAUCCGAAUCGAAAAGAGAUAUAAACGACUGAGGCAUAACAAAUGCAAGGCAACAUACGGUAAGGCACUCCUGUAUCAU